GUGCCAGCAGCCGCGGUAAAACGAGAAGAGCAAGCAUUAUUUAUUAUAAAUUGGCGUAAAGAGUUUGUAGUGCUGUAAAAUAAGUUUUAAUUAAAAUUUUUAAGCUUUAUUUAAGAAAAAAAUAAGAAUACUAUUUUACCUAGAGUUUGAUGCAAUAAAAAUAGAAUUUUGUACGAAAAAGUAAAAUUUGUAGAUAUAGCAAAGGAAUACCAAUUUGUGAAAACAAUUUUUUAGCAAAAACUGACGUUGAGAAACGAAAAUAUAGGUAGCAAACAGGAUUUGAUACCCUGGUAGUCUAUAUUGUAAAUUCUGAGUGUUAAAAUUUAAUAAAUUAAAUUUUAAGCUAGCGCAAUAAACACUCCGCCUGAGGAGUAUAAUUUAAAAUUGAAACUCAAAGGAACUGACGGGAACUUAUACUAACAGUGGAGCGUAUGGUUUAAAACGAUAACCCACGUUAAAUCUUACCAAUUUUUUGAAAAAAUAAAUAAUUUAUUUUUAUAAAAUCUAUAUUAAUUUACAUUUAUUUACAGGUGCUGCACGGCUGUCGUAAGUCCGUGUCUUAAGACGUUUGGUUAAUUCCUUUAACGGACGAUGCUCUUAUUUUUUAAUUAUAAUUAAGUUUAAAAAUUCAAAACUUUAUAUGUUUUGCAUUUAAAAACAAUUUUAAUUUUUCUAAACACAAUUAAUUAUAAAUUAAAGGGAGGUAAGAAUAAAGACAAGUCAUUGUGACCCUUAUAAAUUGGGCUACACAUGCGCUACAAUGAAAAUUACAAAAAGUUACAAAUACAAAGUUAACCUUAAAAAAAUUUUCUUAGUUCGGAUUGUGACCUGAAACUCGGUGACAUAAAGUUGGAAUUGUUAGUAAUCGUAUGUCACAAUAAUAUGGUGAAAAGUUAUAGGUUUUGUACACACCGCCCGUCACACC
rnacentral:rRNA from 1 species